CCUGCCACUGUCCUAGUCCGUAAAAGGGGCUUAAAGUGGAGGCUUAUAGUGACCCGGCUUUUGGAAGCAGGGCGGUCCCAACCUGAUGGCUAACUCUGUGCCAAAAGGCCUGGAACAAAC
ensembl:snoRNA